CCCUCUUCGGAGGGAGUGGCAGACGGGUGAGUAACGCGUGGGAAUCUACCUAGCUCUACGGAAUAACGCAGGGAAACUUGUGCUAAUACCGUAUACGCCCUUCGGGGGAAAGAUUUAUCGGAGUUGGAUGAGCCCGCGUUAGAUUAGCUAGUUGGUGGGGUAAUGGCCCACCAAGGCGACGAUCUAUAGCUGGUCUGAGAGGAUGAUCAGCCACACUGGGACUGAGACACGGCCCAG
rnacentral:rRNA from 1 species